rnacentral:lncRNA from 1 species
GGAGAGAAUUGAACUAUCGAUGCCCGACGUCGGGAGGAGGUGAGGUGCACAGGAGCUCAAAGAUUACCGACCUAACUAGGUUUGUGGGAGUUCUGAGGUCGGGAAACAACCGACCUGGGUGGUCUGUGUCGGAUGUGACAUGGGAUGCUCAUGACAUCGGGGAAGACCGAUCUUGGCUCUGAGGUGCCAUCGAUCCAAAAGGGUUGACGUUAGAAGGCCACUUA